rnacentral:rRNA from 1 species
AAGGAUCAUUCCAAGAUCUCUUGCAAAACAAGACAUCGCCUGUGUCUCGACUGUGUUUCGCAUCAACGCUUCACACAUUGAUCGUUCAACAACAACCAAAAACUCAUACAACUGCUGGCAACGGAUCACUCGGCUCUCGUGUCGAUGAAGAGCGUAGCGAAUUGCGAAAAGUCAUGCGAUUUGCACCCCUCGUGAAUCAUUGAAUCCUUGAACGCAGCCUGCACCUUUCGGGUCUUCCGGAGGUCAGUCUGUUUGAGUGUGAUUUUCACUUGAUGGUCCGCCCGAAGGGGUUGAUCGUCGGAACGCAUAGGCCGUUGGCGUUGCAGACGCACAUCUCGGGUUGCAAGACACUUGAUGGGUAGAGGCAACGCUCAAAGGCUCUGGUUGACGGCUGGAAGGCCGUUGGCUGACCAAGGGUGGUGUCUUUCGAGACACUUGCGGACACUUGCCUCACAGCAAGUGCCCCCACCCUUCCAAACCCACCUCAAAUCAGACUGGAUUACCCGCUGAACUUAAGCAUAUCAAUAAGCGGAGGAAAAGAAACCAACAGGGAUUCCCCUAGUAACGGCGAGUGAAGCGGGAACAGCUCAAAUUUGAAAUCGGGGUCUGGCGGCAGGCUCCCGACGUGUAGUUUGAUGAGACGUGCCCGGCGGGUCGACAGGUCAAAGUCCCUUGGAACGGGGCGCCACAGAAGGUGAAAGUCCCGUCCGUGGCCUGUGUCAGGACCGCCGUGCUGUGGGCCGUCUUCGCAGAGUCGGGUUGUUUGGGAAUGCAGCUCAAAGCGGGUGGUAAACGCCAUCAAAGGCUAAAUACAGGCGAGAGACCGAUAGCGAACAAGUACCGUGAGGGAAAGUUGAAAAGCACUCUGAAGAGAGAGUCAAACAGCGCGUGAAAUUGCCAACAGGGAAACGAUGGGCGCCAGUGUGAGGCGUGUUCGGUUCAGCUGGUCCGCUGCAGGGCUGGUGUACGCCGGACACGCCCGGUCAACAUCGGUGUGGCUGGGGCGAAAAGGGUGUGCGGCCGGCAAGUCUUUCGGGACGAGCACCGCGCACACGACGGUCCCGGCCAGACCGAGGCAAGCGAGCGAGGAGUUGAGGGCCUGCGGGUUCAGGUGAGGCGCGCGUCUGUGUCGACAGUCUGACUGACGGCGCGGACGUCUCGCCCAGCCCCCCGCGGCCCAUUCCCCCGCUCCCGACGGUUGACGAAAUGGCGUCCAACGACC